AUGUUAUGUGUGUGUGUGAGCGUGUGCAUACAUAUGUAUGUAUUUAUACAUCACACACACACACACACACACACACUAUAUAUACAUAUACACAC
rnacentral:miRNA from 1 species